UACGGGGGGGGCAAGCGUUGUUCGGAAUUACUGGGCGUAAAGGGCUCGUAGGCGGCCCUCUCAGUCGGAUGUGAAAUCCCCAGGCUUAACCUGGGAACGGCAUCCGAUACUGGAGGGCUUGAAUUCGGGAGAGGGAUGCAGAAUUCCAGGUGUAGCGGUGAAAUGCGCAGAUAUCAGGAGGAACACCGGUGGCGAAGGCGGCCCACUGGCUCGAUACUGACGCUGAGGUGCGAAAGCGUGGGGAGCGAACAGG
rnacentral:rRNA from 1 species